AUGAAGAAUACGGGAGAGACCUCUGGCUGAGGCGCCGAAGGAGUAAAGGAGCGGUGAAGCGAAACCGGUUUUGAAACUCUCAGGUAAAAGUACUGUAUUCAGACG
rnacentral:ncRNA from 2 species